GGGCGCAUAGCUCAGUUGGUUAGAGCACUGCCCUUACAAGGCAGGUGUCGGGGGUUCGAGUCCCUCUGCGCCCA
rnacentral:tRNA from 1 species